GGGGCGGUUUGGUGGCCUUCCUGCUCCAGUCAGGGCAGAGCCGCCGCCUGUGGACGAGGGCGCUGCUGAGCGCCAGUUCUUGCUGUGGUCCCGGAGCUCGACGUGAGACCUGAGAGAAGUCGUCUGCCUAUGCGAUGACCAUGGAUGCUUGGAUAUGUUUCUGGACUCUCAACUUUAUGACAUUUCUCCAAAGACACACAAAUGUGGUUUUCUGUGACUAAACAGCUCAUCUGCAAGAAGUGAGAGGCAUACUUCUUCUUUUCAGGAAAAGUUCAGCAUUCGCGUUCUGGCUGAGAUGUCAUUCUUAACAACAGCAAUGACUGCCUGGGGAGUAUGACGGCAUUUGCCUAAAGGGCUUCAUCUGGCCCAUGAUAUCUUGAAAGUACCUACACCAUCCUUUCAGAUACUCAAAGGUACUUCAAAUAAAAUCAAAACAAGAAUUCUCAAACGUAGCCUUGAAAAUGUGGGGAGUCAGAACAAAAGGACCUCAUUGUUUCACUGAUAGUCAUUGAUGGGGACACCCAGAAUAUACGGAGAAAUGA